CCAACUCAUCAACUGGGCCCACACAGAUAUCCGACAGGUGACCUUUUGACGUCAAGAGGCUAAAAACUCCACCCUCAGAUCAUGUAUACACUGCCAUUUUGUGAACAUGGGUCCUAUGAAGAGGCGUGGAGUCUGACUACACUUGUGCACAUCAUCAAUUACCUCACCUCUCCUCACCUCCAGUCACCCAUCUCCACAUCUCAGACCACCUUGCCCCCAUCCCAUAAAUAUCCCCGAGUCCUUAUUUUUGGGGAAGUGAAUUUGAGACUCAUGCUCUCGCUUCCUCACAUGGAUGCCUUGUGUUUAAACCCUCUCUCUGCUGCAAUCUCAUCAUCUUGGUGUUUGGCUUUCCGGGUGAUGGGCAAAAACGAACUUGGUGCAGUAACACAGUGAUGAUAUGAUAACAGAAGGAAGAAGUUUGUGCAAACCAGGUUGAUGACACAGCAGGACAGACCAAGUAUCUAUUUCUCUUUUGUAAGCAUGCAUGCAUCCAAGUCUGUCUGCUUGAGAACUUUCUGGGUAAGACAGACAAGUAGCUUCUUCCACUGGCUGUGGUCAAACUAGCAUAAUUAAUUAAUCAUGGAGUUGCAUAUCCACAUUGUCCCGCCUUCACUGCAAGUCAACAUCCCUGCACCAACAAAACUAUGGAUUGAGAAGCUUAUAACCUGGAGCCUGGAUGGCUCACCCAAGAGAUUUUGGUAGAAGUAGUCAAGGCCAUAGCACCGAGAGCAGGAUGGAAGGAGGCCUUUGGGAUGCUUUUGCUGAUGCCAAACAUGGAAUGGAGUCAGUCAGUUUGAAGUUCAAGAGAGGCACGAUUCACCGGAUAGCUGACCUACAAAUUAAGCAGACCAUUUCAGUGGUCCAGGACAUUCUCUGACAUGGUGUCUCGUGAUGAAUAGCAGCUCAGGGGCAGAACGAACCGAAGUACUGUUCCCAGAUCCAUCAACAGAUAGGACGUGGGUGGACAGAAGUGUCAAGACAGUCACAGGACAUCUCCAGGAAAUAUUGUCGGGGAUACCAAUGAUGCCACAGUGCCAAGGAAAGCCCAGCAUAGCAGUACUUCUGUCUGAUUUUGAUCAAGGUUGCCUUCUUCUGAAUCCAAGGGAUGCUAGCCACAAAACACACCUGGCCCAGCUGCUAAGUUACUAUUAGAUCUACUAGAUGAAGUUCUUGAGUCUUAAAGAAGCAGUUUGGCAACUGCCCUUUGACCCGCUCCUCUAGGAAUUCAUCUUAAGGCGUGAAAAGAUUUGGCUACAAAGCUGUUUGCUACUAUGUGGAGAUGAUGAUGGUGAUGAUGAUGGUGAUGAUGAUGAUGAUAACGGCCCUGAUCUAUGCACUUUGUGUAUAUUAACUCAGUUUACCUUCAUAGCAAACCCAUCAGACUCCUCUGAAAAGAGAAGGUAAACCAUGCCAGAAAAUAAAAGUUAUCAGGGAGCAUCUGUGGAGUUUUCCUGGAGGCCAUUCUCUUCUGGAAUCCGAACUGUCACCAGCACAUGGAGCCCGGCUGACUUAUGAAGAGUGUGAUGCAGGAUCGUUUGGUAUUCUGCAAGGGCAGUGGCGUGUGUUGGGGGCCAAGGCGUGCUGGCGACUCCAGGGUCUGCCAGGCUUUCACUCUCUCCAGAUUGCCCCUGCCUCCCAGCAGGAGCUGACCCAGGCUUGAAAAAGGUUAACUAGCACAAACAGCCAUCAUUUGUGACGAGUGGGAAAGCCCCAUGUGUUGCCCCAGCUUCUCUUUAUGAGGCAUGAGGGGUGGUUUUUCUCUGUUGUUCAGACGGUUGGCACAAGGUGAGUACCCAGCAUGCUUCUGCUUUAGGAACUGGAAAGGCCUGUCUCCAGGCAAGUGUUCAGGAGGCCAAAAAAG
ensembl:lncRNA